AAAAAGACAAACCCUGAGUUUUCGUGUCAAACUUUGAAUGUCCGUCUUAUAUGAAAUUUUUUUAUAAUUCGUAUUUUCAUUGUUGUUAGAUGAUAAAACAUGAUUAAUAUUUUAUGCGUGACUUGUCUUUUUAAUUUUUUUUAUAAUUUUUUCAAAUAAGACAGACGGUCAAACGUUGGACACGAAAACCAGAGUUUGUCUUUUUU
rfam:Oryza glumipatula chromosome 7, whole genome shotgun sequence.